rnacentral:rRNA from 1 species
AGUGAACGCUGGCGGUAGGCCUAACACAUGCAAGUCGAACGGCAGCACAGUAAGAGCUUGCUCUUACGGGUGGCGAGUGGCGGACGGGUGAGGAAUACAUCGGAAUCUACUUUUUCGUGGGGGAUAACGUAGGGAAACUUACGCUAAUACCGCAUACGACCUACGGGUGAAAGCAGGGGAUCUUCGGACCUUGCGCGAUUGAAUGAGCCGAUGUCGGAUUAGCUAGUUGGCGGGGUAAAGGCCCACCAAGGCGACGAUCCGUAGCUGGUCUGAGAGGAUGAUCAGCCACACUGGAACUGAGACACGGCCCAGACUCCUACGGGAGGCAGCAGUGGGGAAUAUUGGCCAAUGGGCGCAAGCCUGAUCCAGCCAUACCGCGUGGGUGAAGAAGGCCUUCGGGUUGUAAAGCCCUUUUGUUGGGAAAGAAAAGCAGCAGGUUAAUACCCCGCUGUUCUGACGGUACCCAAAGAAUAAGCACCGGCUAACUUCGU